rnacentral:rRNA from 1 species
UACAUGGGGUGCAACCGUUGCUCGGAAUUAUUGGGCGUAAAGGGCGCGUAGGCGGUGCGGUAAGUCACCUGUGAAAUCUCCCGGCUCAACUGGGAGCUUGCAGGCGAAACUGCCGUGCUGGAGUGUGGGAGAGGUGCGUGGAAUUCCCGGUGUAGCGGUGAAAUGCGUAGAUAUCGGGAGGAACUCCUGUGGCGAAAGCGGCGCACUGGACCACAACUGACGCUGAGGCGCGAAAGCUAGGGGAGCAAACAGG